UGACCGGGUGGCCACCUUCCACGGCACAAAGAUGAUAUAGUGGAGGUCGUUGGGAGGUGGCCACCUCCCCGGCUGGAGAAAGAUAUAGGUGACCGUGGGAGAGCACCAUCUCCACGGCACUUGGUGUUCAGAUAUGGCAGAAGUACUUAAAGAACUUAGACUGAUCAGUCGAACUUUAGCUCACAAAGAAUUUAGUUGAGCAGUGACGGUGGAGAAUGCUAAGCAGAGUUAUGAGUUUCCUUUUAUUUUAAGUAGUGCUCUCGGCGGUGCAUGUCUCCAUACAUGUGACCGUGUUCAUUCCGCUGUAUAGCAUCAACUGUUCUUCCAUACUCUGAUAAAUAUCUAUUGAUGAAUAAGAUUUUA